UGACUCCUACGGGAGGCAGCGGUGAGGAAUAUUGGUCAAUGGGCGAGAGCCUGAACCAGCCAAGUCGCGUGAGGGAAGACGGCCCUACGGGUUGUAAACCUCUUUUGUCAGGGAGCAAGAACGGAUACGUGUAUCCGAGCGAGAGUACCUAAAGAAAAAGCAUCGGCUAACUCCGUGCCAGCAGCCGCGGUAAUACGGAGGAUGCGAGCGUUAUCCGGAUUUAUUGGGUUUAAAGGGUGCGUAGGCGGGCUGCCAAGUCAGCGGUAAAAUUGCGGGGCCCAACCCCGGCCUGCCGUUGAAACUGGCGGCCUCGAGUGGGCGAGAAGUAUGCGGAAUGCGUGGUGUAGCGGUGAAAUGCAUAGAUAUCACGCAGAACUCCGAUUGCGAAGGCAGCGUACCGGCGCCCAACUGACGCUGAAGCACGAAGGCGUGGGUAUCGAACAGGAUUAGAUACCCCCGUAC
rnacentral:rRNA from 1 species